UGCACGUGUAAGUACGAGCCAACUUGAAAAAAUACGGUGAGACUGCGGAAGGCUCAUUAUCUCAGUCGUAGUUCCUUAGAUCGUCCGCGACCUGUGGUAUAACUGUAGAAAAUCUAGAGCUAAUACAUGCACGAGUACAGCGCCGAUCCCCGGAGAGGCGCGCGUUUAUUAGACCAAGACCGGCGCCGGGGCCCCGUGUCCCGGCCACUCCGUGUUGACUCUGGAUAACAUUGCCGAUCGCCCGGCCUUGCUGCCGGCGACGUAUCUUUCAAAUGUCUGACCUAUCAGCUGGUUGGCCGUAGAGGUGACGGCCACGGGAUUGACGGGUAACGGGGAAUCAGGGUUUGAUUCCGGAGAGGGAGCCUGAGAAACGGCUACCAC
rnacentral:rRNA from 1 species